CCUACGGGAGGCUGCAGUGAGGAAUAUUGGUCAAUGGACGAGAGUCUGAACCAGCCAAGUAGCGUGAAGGAUGACUGCCCUAUGGGUUGUAAACUUCUUUUAUAUGGGAAUAAAAUGUUCCACGUGUGGGAUUUUGUAUGUACCAUAUGAAUAAGGAUCGGCUAACUCCGUGCCAGCAGCCGCGGUAAUACGGAGGAUCCGAGCGUUAUCCGGAUUUAUUGGGUUUAAAGGGAGCGUAGGUGGAUUGUUAAGUCAGUUGUGAAAGUUUGCGGCUCAACCGUAAAAUUGCAGUUGAAACUGGCAGUCUUGAGUACAGUAGAGGUGGGCGGAAUUCGUGGUGUAGCGGUGAAAUGCUUAGAUAUCACGAAGAACUCCGAUUGCGAAGGCAGUUCACUGGACUGCAACUGACACUGAGGCUCGAAAGUGUAGGUAUCAAACAGGAUUAGAUACCCUUGUAGUC
rnacentral:rRNA from 1 species